rnacentral:lncRNA from 1 species
CUCAUCCCUGAACUGAGUUGGCUUACUUCGGUGGGUUGACUAAGUCUGAUACUUGAUCAACUAAUUGAUCAUAAACAGUAACCAUUACGGUGAAGCCAAAGAUAAUUUGGUCAGGUCAGUCAAUACUGAAUCGAUUAAAAUAAGAAACUAGAUCGACUCAGUUCAAAACUAGUUGGCUCAGUUGGCAUGCAAAUAGGUAUCACAUAGUUUCAGAUCUGAAAAUUCUUGCAUAAAC